UAAUCCAUAGUGUAGUGGUAACACACCUCCGGGUCCACCGUGAGGAGACGGGCGUUCGAUUCGUCCUGGAUGAA